CGGAAUGUGGCCUAGUAGCUAGGGCGCCGGUUUCGGGUACCGGAGAUCAGGGGUGCGAGUCCCCUCAUUCCGAC
rnacentral:tRNA from 1 species